AUCGCUUCUUGGCCUUUUGGCUAAGAUCAAGUGUAAUAAAAUUUUAUCCAGCAAAUAUAUUAAUUCUUUUUCUUUUCUCUUU
rnacentral:snRNA from 1 species